rnacentral:rRNA from 1 species
CCUACGGGGGGCAGCAGUGGGGAAUAUUGCACAAUGGGCGCAAGCCUGAUGCAGCCAUGCCGCGUGUGUGAAGAAGGCCUUCGGGUUGUAAAGCACUUUCAGCGGGGAGGAAGGCGGUGAGGUUAAUAACCUCAUCGAUUGACGUUACCCGCAGAAGAAGCACCGGCUAACUCCGUGCCAGCAGCCGCGGUAAUACGGAGGGUGAAAGCGUUAAUCGGAAUUACUGGGCGUAAAGCGCACGCAGGCGGUCUGUCAAGUCGGAUGUGAAAUCCCCGGGCUCAACCUGGGAACUGCAUUCGAAACUGGCAGGCUAGAGUCUUGUAGAGGGGGGUAGAAUUCCAGGUGUAGCGGUGAAAUGCGUAGAGAUCUGGAGGAAUACCGGUGGCGAAGGCGGCCCCCUGGACAAAGACUGACGCUCAGGUGCGAAAGCGUGGGGAGCAAACAGGAUUAGAUACCCGAAUAGUC